rnacentral:rRNA from 1 species
AGAGUUUGAUCAUGGCUCAGAACGAACGCUGGCGGCGUGGAUAAGACAUGCAAGUCGAGCGAUCGUUAACGGGUAGCAAUAUUCGUUAGCGGGAGCGGCGCAAGGGUGCGUAACACGUGGGUAAUCUGCCGUGAAGUUUGGGAUAAUCCCGCGAAAGCGGGACUAAUACCGGAUGUGACCAUUGGGAGGCAUCUUCUGAUGGUUAAAGUUGGGGACCGCAAGGCCUGACGCUUCAUGAUGAACCCGCGGCCUAUCAGCUAGUUGGUGAGGUAACGGCUCACCAAGGCUAAGACGGGUAGCUGGUCUGAGAGGACGACCAGCCACACUGGAACUGAGACACGGUCCAGACACCUACGGGUGGCAGCAGUCGAGAAUUUUUCACAAUGGGCGCAAGCCUGAUGGAGCGACGCCGCGUGGGGGAUGAAUGGCUUCGGCCCGUAAACCCCUGUCAUUUGCGAUCAAACCUUAUUAUUUAAAAGAUGAUAAGUUGAUAGUAGCGAAAGAGGAAGGGACGGCUAACUCUGUGCCAGCAGCCGCGGUA